CCGCAUUUCCCUCCUCAACGUCGAGCUCGCAUAGGCCCAGCUAUGGCGAUCCCUUCCUCCACGCUCGCCGCCUCUUCUCCGAACAUCCUCCGCCCCCGCCCGCCGGCGCCGCCGCUCCCUCUUCCUCCGCUCCUCUGUCCGUCGUCCGUUCCUCCUCCUUCGAGAGCAGCCGCUCGGUCCUCUCGGGUUCUCUCCGCUUCGGCUCCCGCCGCCCUCGCCGAGCCGAACCGAGCCGAGCCGGCCCCCCGCCGCCCUCCGCCCGCCGCCUGGAAACAUAGCUCCAAGUCUUAUCUGGCCAGGCAGGCCGCGGUGCUCGAAAUUCAGCAGUCGCCCGAUUUGGACGCCGCGCUCGAAAGGCUUGGCGGUCUACUGAAGGUGCAGGACUUGAAUGCCAUUUUGAGGUAUUUUGGGAAACUCAACCGGAUGCAAGAUAUUUCCAAGCUCUUUCAGUAUAUGCAGAAACAUGAGAAGAUUAGUGCUGCUAGUUAUAGCAGUUAUAUAAAGUUCGCAGGGACAAGCCACAACCCUUUGAAUGCACUGGAAAUCUAUAACAGUAUUCCAGAUGCCUCAAUGAGAAUCAAUGUCUUUAUAAGUAAUGCUGUUCUUAGUUGCCUUGUCAGAAAUGGUAAAUUUGGGAUUGGCAUGAAAUGUUUUCAACAGAUGAAGCGGGAUGGACUGAAACCAGAUAUCAUUACAUAUAGUACGCUGCUUGCAGGUUGCAUGAAGGUCAAUGAUGGUUACACCAAAGCAUUGGAACUGAUACAGGAACUGGAGUAUAAUAGUCUUAAAAUGGAUAGUGUAAUGUAUGGGACUCUUAUUGCUGUGUGUGCUUCGAACAAUCAUUGUGAAGAUGCAGAGCGCUUCUUCAGGCAAAUGGUGAAUGAAGGCCAUACACCUAAUGAAUUCCAUUAUAGCUCUUUAUUAAAUUCGUACUCUGCUGAUGGUAAUUACAAGAAGGCUGAAGCCUUGGUGCAGGAUAUGAAAUCUGCAGGCUUAGUUGUCAAUAAGGUAAUUUUGACUACUUUGCUAAAGGUUUACGUCAGAGGAGGCUUAUUUGAUAAGUCAAGAGAAUUAUUGGCCGAACUGGAACUCUUAGGCCAUGCCAAAGAUGAGAUGUCAUACUGUCUAUUGAUGGAUGGCCUAGCUAAGGCUGGAAGGACAGAUGAAGCUAAAUCAGUAUUUGACGAAAUGAUGGGAAAAUCUGUCAAAUCUGAUGGCUAUGCUCACUGCAUCAUGAUUUCAGCAUUUUGCCGGUGUGGGCUUUUACAAGAGGCCAAACUGUUGGCCAAAGACUUUGAAGCCAAAUUUAACAGAUAUGACUUGGUAAUAUUAAAUACAAUGCUAUGCGCCUAUUGCAGAGCAGGUGAAAUGGAGAGUGUCAUGCAAACAUUGAAGAAGAUGGAUGAACUAGCUAUCAAUCCUGAUUACAAUACCUUUCAUAUCCUAGUCAAAUACUUCUUUAAGGAGAAAUUAUAUCUACUUGCUUACAGGACUAUAGAGGACAUGCAUAAAAAGGGGCACCGACCAGAGGAGGGACUUUGCUCCUCCCUAAUCUUUCAACUCGGUAACAUGAAUGCCUACUCAGAAGCCUUUUCUGUUUACAAUAUGUUGAGGUAUAGCAAAAGAAAUAUGUGUAAGGCACUCCAUGAGAAAAUUCUGCACAUUCUGAUUUCUGGACGGCUUUACAAGGAGGCUUAUGUCGUUGUCAAGGACAAUGCAGGAUCAAUCUCCAAGCAAGCAGUAAGGAAGUUUGCAACUGCAUUUAUGAAGUCGGGCAAUGUCAACUUGAUAAAUGAUGUGUUGAAGGUCAUCCAUGCCUCUGGGAAUAAGAUUGAUCAGAAAUUAUUUAAUAUGGCCGUGUCACGAUUUAUUGUUCUGCCUGAGAAGAAGGAAUUACUUCUCCAACUGCUGCAGUGGAUGUCCGGUCAUGGUUAUGCUAUUGAUUUGUCAACAAGAGACCUUAUUCUAAAAAAUUCACGCUUCUUUGGUGAUGAGCUUAUUAAGGAAACACUGUCCAAGCAUCAGUUAAGUUUGAAAGGAGUGAGAUCUCAUAAAAGGAAGGAGUGAAUUUCCGAGUAAUGUUAUUUGAGGCUCCUCUGCCUUUCGUGCGUGAUUCGUAAUUCCUCUACAGCGUGGUAAGUUGUUGAAAGCGGUAUUUCUGGAACCCUGUCAAGCUACAUGACCUACUGCAGCAAUCCUUGCCAUAGUAACAGAGGUUCUCUCUUGCUUGGUAUGUUGUGCCUGCCCCUGCAGAUUAUGCAAGACAUCACAAACUCAUGGUUAAACUUUGAUAAUGCAGCUGGUUUAUGAUGCUAUCAAGCAGUAUACGUGCUUAUGCUCGGCCACAGGUGAGAUGUAGCAGGAGAAUGAUUAGAGCAAGCUCCCUGUCUUAUAGGUUGAAGUUUAUUAGCCUGAUUUUUUGUUAAUUGAACUUCCUUGGCUAUCUUGGCGAGGUACAUAGCCUAACAGGUGUUGGUGUAGAGUUUUUCCUCUUUCAGCAUACGCCUUUGCGUUUGUUGUACAAUGUAAAUUAUUCUUUUCUAGAAAGUGGAGGGAUUUACAAGAGCAGUCAUCCUGUGUUGGAUCACUAUGCCCAUCUCCUAAUGAUCAGUCCUAUUUUAGUCAAUGCAGAUCAUAGCAUAAAAAUGAGAUCUUUUUCUUGCC